CAAUGUCAUCUUCUUCCCUGCCUCACCACCAAACCAUUUGAUUUUCGAGAAAACUAGAACUCCAAUUUUCCAUUCUUCAUCUUUAACUAUCGUGCCAACCAAUGUUACGUUCCAACAAAUUCAAAGAUUCAACUUUAGUUGUUAUUAGGUUAGUAACAUUUAUAAAAUCCCUCAAAAAUUUAUGAAUCACGGUAGACACUAACGACGAAGAAGAAUAACGAAUUGAUAUAUUUUAAAGGAUUUCAUUGAAAUUAACUUAGGGAUUUCAAUAGGGUUUGAUCAAAUCGUAAUGGGUUGGAAACACAUUUGAUUUUGACCGAAAAUUCAAGAAAUCGAGGUAGAAAAUUCAUAAAUUGAAGCUCACCUGAAAGUAAUUGUAAUCAAGUUUCAAAGUUAGGUCUAAUUUUUGGAUGAUUGGAUGUAUGCGCUAAGGAUAUUUGAGAGAUGAUAAUUAAAUGUAUGUACUGAUAAAAUCUUCCAUCUGUUUCAUCUAGAAAAUGGGAUUUGAUUACGGAUUCCAUCAUUUGAGUUGCAUAUUGCGUCAAAAAAAGAACACCUUCGUAGGUUAAUUUGUGCAAAGAAGAACAAAAAGAGAUUAGGGGAGAGAGAUAAAGUGACAUUUCAGCACUGGAACACGUGCAUCACACGUGCUAACUUAACCGCCGGUCACAACAGUUAUAACGGACAGGGAGAUUUACCACUUAUUGAUUUAAAAGGGUAAUGCAGAAUAGGUAUUUUUUCAAAGGGGAAAAUACAAAAUCAUUGUUAUAAAAAGGCAUGAGGUUUGUCUCCAUGAUAGCUAGGGCUAUCUGACGGACGUCGUUUAACGAGGACCCUCAUCCGGCGAUCGGAUACUCCGGAUGGGUUUUCCGUUGGACGGUUUAGAAGCUUCGAGUGGUAUGUUGGUCGUUAUGGGUGAAUGAAAUCCGAAGCCGCGCGUUGAAAUAUCCCUAUUGUUCCUACGGCUUUGAACCAACUCCUCCCUCUGAAAACACUGGAAUUUUUCUUCUCUGUUUGAUGAUUUUCUUCUCUGUUUGACGAUGGAGAGGAAUAGAAUCGGAAGGGAUGAGUAAGUUAUAUUGGAGAAGGGAGCUGCUGUGAAUGAACUUCUGUCUCAGUGCUCAGGUUAGGCAUGGACAUUGCUCUAGGUUAUCUGUAGAUCUCAAUUUGCACGAUUACUCUUCAACUGCAAGGGCAAUGGGUUGGUUCAGCUGGUGCUCCUAUGUUACAUAAUCUACAAGUUGGUGGUAGCGGGGCAGUUACUUAUGAACGCAAAGAAAUGGCUAGGUACCAUGACUAGGUCUGUCUGAAUCCGGAGGGUGUCACUUACAUACAAAAUAGCAUUUUAAGUUUAAAAAAUUAAUAAACUGAUCAUUAAUCGAGUGGGGGAUGUAAGUAAACCCGAAAUGUGUCAUUCUUUAUCCCCUUUCGAUGCUUCCAAACUACUAGAAGUUAUCAUUUUCUACAGGCUUGAUGGUAAGCUCUAUCCACAGAGAGAAAACAGGAAGGAAAGAACCGAGAUUGCCAGGGAUGGUGAGUUUUCGCUUAUUUGUAAAUCCCAAUUUUCAUGUCAAAUUCGAGGAGGGCAUGACUGGAUCUUUUUCAAUCUAAUUCAUAUUUAGUCGGCAAACUAAAUUUGUCCCGCCAGCUUGAAAUAUUAAACCAGACGGGUGUCAUGAAACAUGGGGUACUGUUGAGUUCGAAAAUAUGUUAGAUGUUAAAUAUGGAGGUUUCCAUUUUGAAACUGAAGAUGUUCGUACUUCGUAGAGAAGCUGUUGAUGAGGGUAUUUUUGGAAACUGGGGAUGCUUAUAGUCGGAACCUGAUGAGAUGUACAAUCAUCUAUUUCCAUUGGUUAAUGCCUACAGGACUAUCGUCAUCAUGUUGGACUAGCAUCUCAUGUGAACUCCAAAGAGUUUAUCUUGAUUGCUGGCUUUCUAUCCUUUAGGUGGAGAUCCAAAAAGUACUCAGCCCUAUUUAUGUAAUCUUUGGUAACAUCCACUGUAGAGUCCAUUUCUGAAUCCAAAGAGUUUAUCUCGAAUAGUGAGAGAUCCUUUAUAGUCAUUAACUUUGAAUCUUCUGUUGAAUUUUUGUAGUUUUUUUUCUUUCAAAAAUAUCUUUCAGCAACCGAUUUCCAGUUGAAUUUCCAUGAUUACAAGUUUCCUCCUAGGCCAAAGAGAAGGCUAAUGCCCCAAUAAGGGGAAAAGUAGGCAUAAGGGAAAAAGUAGGCUAUUGUAGAUUUUCCAUGAAAAAAAAAGUAUCAAUUUGCAAAAUGAAAUGCGUAAUAACUGUAAAUUUGAUUCACUUUCUUUCAGCCUAUGGCUGAAGAACAUGCUUUUAACAGUUUUUUACUUCAUUCUGAUGUAAGUUGCCUGUUUUUAUGUGGUUUAUUGAUUUUGAUA